GCCCAAAGGACCAACGCACAGUUUCCUUGCGUGUCCUACACAGUACGCCCACAAUAAUGCAUGACCAAAGGGACGACUACUUGGACUACGAGAAACAAGCGAUAACUUCUGCAGACCACUCAUCAAUCGAGUACGAUAACAACUCAAAGAUGCGAUUCCUGAUCAAGUCAGCAGAAGAAAGUACUCUCACAAGUGAACUAGUGGGAAAUCAAAAGGCAAAAUUCUCCCAAAAGAUCAUUGUAUAGAGAUACAAGUUCAGGAGCGAUUACAACCGAAGGGAGCCUAAGACUACUGCAAGUUAACGAACUUGGCUACCUCCUCGGCUAUGGGGUCUAACUCCUCCAAGUAUUGCUUAUAC
rnacentral:lncRNA from 1 species